GGACCAGCAGAGAGGGAAAAGGAAGCAAGAGGGAGGUGAGGGGAAGCAAGAAUCUCUGGUUUAGAACCCCAGAUACAGAAUCCCAGAUACCACAAUGCUCUGAAGCUCUUGCGUGAUCAAGCCUGGCCCCUGGUCCCGAAGCUAAAUCUUCUUUGGAGAUGAAGAAUCCGACACCGUUCACCGUAAGCUAUCACCACCGGGAAGCAGAGGGGCAGAAGCCCCCUUGUUCUGCAUGGCAUCUGUGCUCACAGCCCAUCAUGUGGCCACCAGGGACCUGCAGGUGCUGUUAAACCUUGCACGCUCGUAAAGCUGGGGAAACUGUAAGGUGAAGUCACUUGCCCACAUCCAUGGAACAAGCCAAGGGCAGAGAUGGGACUCAGGUCUGUCACACUCCGGCAACUUCGGUGCGACUACCUAGGAAGAUGGUGGGGGCCGGGAGAGAAGUUCAAGCCCCGUCGUCCAUCACGCCAGCGCCAGAGGCCCAUGCAAGCCUUCUCCACACCCACUCGUUGAGAGCUUUUCAAAGCAAUAAGCGCGUCAUGCCGUGCCCCUUCCCUCCCCACUGCUGACACCCUCCUGUGGUUCCUUAAGGAGUGAAGUUGGUCCUCAGCAGCCUCUGGAGCCUCACCCCCACCUGUCCAGACGCCUUUGUAUUUUGUCCCCCAAACUGGCCCCUUCGCAGUUCCUUAAAAGCUCUACGACCAGGAAGCUGAGCCCCUUCUGAGCCCAGUUUCCCCAUGGUCAGAUGGGGCCAUGUUCCCCCCACCCCUUGGAGUCUGCUGUAGCAAGGACAGGGCGUGGAGAAUUCUGUGCAAACUGUAAAGUGCUGUGCCCCCAUUGUACGGGACAAAGGAGAGCAGACAAGGCCGGGCUGCCCGAGGAGGCUGGGCAUCUAGCCACUUGGGCCAUUGUCUAAGCAUCCCUAGCAUCUCCUGCCUCUCCUACCCCUUGCCCCUGUCCUCGUACUCCCUACUGUCCCCAGGGAACGUAGACCCACCCCCAGAUUUACUAGGGCAUGUUAAGAACAUGGUUUGAAGCCAUCUCUGAGGUCAUGAGGUCAUGGCAGUUUCCCAUCGAUCUAUUUGUCCCUCCCUUGGCUGGAGCCCUUUGCCCCUGCCAGUCCCCAAAGCCAUAUCAAACUUCAGCAACCUCCCCCAAGCCUCACUGCUCCCAAGCUAGGUCCCAAGGAGCCAAAACAUGGAGCAGGGCUUUAAAACACUGCCCCUGGGCGAUUUACCAGCUGGGCUGCCCAACCCCUGACCUCGGGAGGAGAUGUAAUGUAUCUCCCUGGUUUAGUUGGAUCAAUGGUGCUGUGGAAAACAGCCCCAAGUGGCUCAGUUAGGAC
ensembl:lncRNA